rnacentral:rRNA from 1 species
GACGAACGCUGGCGGCGUGCCUAAUACAUGCAAGUUGAGCGCUGAAGGUUGGUCCUUGUACCAACUGGAUGAGCAGCGAACGGGUGAGUAACGCGUGGGGAAUCUGCCUUUGAGCGGGGGACAACAUUUGGAAACGAAUGCUAAUACCGCAUAAAAACUUUAAACACAAGUUUUAAGUUUGAAAGAUGCAAUUGCAUCACUCAAAGAUGAUCCCGCGUUGUAUUAGCUAGUUGGUGAGGUAAAGGCUCACCAAGGCGAUGAUACAUAGCCGACCUGAGAGGGUGAUCGGCCACAUUGGGACUGAGACACGGCCCAAACUCCUACAGGAGGCAGCAGUAGGGAAUCUUCGGCAAUAGACGAAAGUCUGACCGAGCAACGCCGCGUGAGUGAAGAAGGUUUUCGGAUCGUAAAACUCUGUUGGUAGAGAAGAACGUUAGUGAGAGUGGAAAGCUCAUCAAGUGACGGUAACUACCCAGAAAGGGACGGCUAACUACGUG